rnacentral:rRNA from 1 species
AUGUCUUCGCCGAGCAGAGUGGGAGGAGGAGUUCAGGUAGGUGAUUGCAGUGGUCAUAAUGAUACACCAAUUGGCUCUUGUUGUCCUGGUGGUAAGGAUCAUGUUGAUGAGGGAGGACAUCAAAUGAAUUCGCCAAUUGAAUCUGCUCCCAUAAGUGUGGCCCCUCCUUCUGUGUCUGUUUUCCAUGCUGGGGCGCCUGGGUUUGAGGAGCAAAGCAAGAAGAAGUUGAGGUUUGAAAGUGACUCAAAAGAGUUUGCAGAGAAGGAGAAGCAGAGGAGAGCUGCAGAUGGUGCCAAGGGUGCCAAAUUUGUCAAAAGUCCACGUGUUGCUGGCAUGAACAAGAAUCUUGGUAAGAGAACUGCUGAAGCUGGUGGAAAGGAUCCUCAGCGCAAGCGACUACAUGUCAGUGAAGGUCCCAACUCUGACGAUGACGACUUUGUGCUUGCUGAUUUUGUGAGGGAUGUUCAUACUGGUAGACGCAAAGACUGUGGUUCAUCUAAGAGUCUAUCAAGCGUGCCCGUGAUGAUGGCGAUGAAGAGGAAGAAGUCUAGUAAGAGUAAUGCAACUGAAGAUGAUGCCGAGGGAGAUGAUUCUCGAUUUAACAAGAUCAAAAAUGUGUCGCGCAUUCUUAUGUGCUAUCUGAUGGGAGUGAUUGACCCUGCCACCAUGAUAGACUUUGGGAAUGGCAGGGUUCUUCGAAUCAAUCGUGAUGCAGUUCAUCACAUUUUUGAUUUACCUAUGGGACGUCACACUGCACCCAUGCCUGCUGCCAGCGGCCAUGAUGACUCGUUGACUGCCCUCAAGGAUGAGCUUGGCUUUGACCGUUCAAAAAGUAUAGGUGUGAAGGACUUGCUUGAGAAGUUGAAGGUGUUGGUGGAGGAAGAUGAUCAUGUGACUGUUGAUCUUGCUGUUAAGGUGUUCUUCCUGAUACAUUACCAGAAUUUGAUGUGCUCCGGGCCUGCUGUUCGUUUGGGUAGAGUUGCUGCAAUAGUAGAGAACAUGGAUUAUGCGGCUAUGGCGCAAAUGGACUUUUGCCAGCUUGUUGUUGAUGAGUUGAAGACAGCUGUGGUGAGGUGGCAAACAGAAGGCAGCAAGCCGAAUUGUGCAGAGGGUUGUGCCAUUGUCCCCCUAAUUAUGUAUCUUGAUUGCUUAAAGCUUCGCAAAUUUUCAGUUAUGCACACGUUGACUCCACGUGCAUCAUACCUGACGACCAAGGACCUGAUGAAGUUAUACAAUGAGGAUGUGCUUGUCAAGGGAAAGAUUUACUUGGAAACUUACAAAUUUGGGAAGCUGCCGUGGAAGGCGUCAGGUGAUAUUGUGUACAACCGUCCUACUGCAGUUGUAUGUGGCGGCUCUGAUGCGGGGCCUAGCACUCAUGCUAGGUUUUAUGAGCCUAUCUGUAGCCAGAUUCCUGCCUGUGAUGAUGAGGUGCCGCGUACUCGUGGUUUCACGGCUCGUCAGAUGUUUGAUAAUCGAAGCUCUUCUAAACAGACAUUUGUUGGCGGCAAAAGACACGAGGAGAUUGAUGAGCUUCUUCUGAAGGUUUUGAAGUUGACUGAAGAUUUGCCAACCUCUGGUGACAGGUUGAGGACAGUUGUUGGUUUUUUCCCUGUUGGCCACGGCCCACGAGAUGAAGAUAUUGUUGUUGCUCACAAUUUUGAUUGCGGCGUGAUUGAAAGCCUGAAGAUUGCAGUGACGAAUAUUCGGUCUUCGUAUGCUCAGUUGAGACAUUUACAGGAAGAAAAAUGCGGUCGGUAUGAGAGGGAUGCUGAGCAUUUUUUGGAUGAAAUGAACCAUCAGGAUGCUGGCGUCGGCGCUGAUAAUACUGGAGUUGCUGCUUGUGAUGUGCACAAAGAUUCCUACGAUGGCUCUGGGAAGGAUGAGGUCUUGGCUGAUGCAUCGUCCCCUCCAGAAGUUGUAGCUGAUAAGUGUUGGUGCUUCUGCAUCGGUUGCUGUCGACGGUGCAGAUCCUUCUGUAGCUCGGGAAUCCAUGAUGCUGUUUCCCCUAGUCGGCAUGAAGAUUCUGAUUUUGGCAUUGAAAAGCCGCUGGAGAAUGUCGUUCCUGUUGUUAGUGUUGCUGCUUCUCCUAUUUGUCUGGCGGCCAACGAUGUCCCUAAAGUAUCCAGAGUGGAGCCUCAUGUAGCUGAAGUAUCUAAGGACGUUGCGGUUGACCAGACUAUUGUAAAUCCAGAGAAUGCUGAUGUUGCUACAGAAGGGCAGUCCAGUGAGGUUGUGGUGGAUUCGUCGCAACCUAGCCAAGUAAAUGUUUUGGUCAGCUGUGAAGAACAACAACAUGAAGACUCUAGCACUGAAGGCAAGAGUUUUGUUUCGAACAGUGCAGUUGAAGUUUUUAUCAUUCAUUUUGUUUAA